UACGGGGGGGGCAAGCGUUGUUCGGAAUUACUGGGCGUAAAGGGCUCGUAGGCGGCCAACUAAGUCAGACGUGAAAUCCCUCGGCUUAACCGGGGAACUGCGUCUGAUAUUGGAUGGCUAGAGGUUGGGAGAGGGAUGCGGAAUUCCAGGUGUAGCGGUGAAAUGCGUAGAUAUCUGGAGGAACACCGGUGGCGAAGGCGGCAUCCUGGACCAAUUCUGACGCUGAGGAGCGAAAGCCAGGGGAGCAAAGCGGG
rnacentral:rRNA from 1 species